GGGAGGCUGAGACGGUGCGGCUGAGGGGGCCGCGGGGGGCACUGCGGUGCGAGGAGCCGCGCUCGUGAACUGCAAAAUGGAGCAGAGAAGGCACAACGACCCCAGAUUCAGAAGAUCUGCUGAAGCCCCGACCUACUGAAGCUUCCUACAGCUCCACUUCUCCUCCCCCAUCUUAAAAUGAGGGGAAUAACCAGCGCCUACCUUGCAGGUUGCUUUCUUCUGUCAGUGACACAACACUAUUUCCUUGAUUAGCGUUGUUCCAAACAGCCAGUAAAAUACCCUUCCCAGCACAGGCUUCCCCAAUACACUACGGUUCCAGAAUGAGUGACAGAGUUAAACAGCUUGCAGUCUAGAAAACCACUCAUGACAAGAGAUUCAGAAC
ensembl:lncRNA